rnacentral:rRNA from 1 species
UAAUAAAUUAAUAAAAGAAUUUAAAGGACGCGGUAUCUUGACCGUGAUAAUGUAGCAUAAUCAUUCGCCAUUUAAUUGAUGGAUAGUAUGAAUGGUGUAACGAAUACAACACUGUCUCAAAUGGAAAAUUUGUGAAAUUAGAAUAAUAGUAAAGAUACUAUUUAAAACUGUAAGACGAGAAGACCCUAUAGAGCUUAACUAUAUUUUUCUAAAAAAUAAAAACUUGUUUUUUAUCUUAGAAAAUUAGGUAGUUUAGUUGGGGCGACUACUUUCUAGAUAAAACGAAAGUAAACAAAGUUAAUUAAUUAACUUACUGUAUAAAAAAUAAAUUUAACAGUUAUUAAAAUAGGUAAUAAUGACCCGUUAUUUUCUUAAAACUGAAAUAACGAUUAAUAAAUAAAAGCUACCUUAGGGAUAACAGGGUAAUCUUGUUUUAGAGAUCUUAUCGAAUACAAGGUUUGCCACCUCUAUGUUGAAUUAAGACAUCCUAAAAGUGCAGCAGCUUUUAAGGGUAGGUCUGUUCGACCUAUAAAGU